rnacentral:lncRNA from 1 species
UGUUGAGUGGGUUUUCAAGGACCUCUCGGUCCAUGGGAAAGAAAGGCAUAAUCGAGCCAGCACAACAGGGUGCCCAUGGGAGAGACAAUUUGGGUGAAAUGUAGAAGAUGGGGAAUUUUGGCUGAGAAGCACACACCUGAGAGGAGUGGUGUCUUGGAAGAUUCAGAAGUGGGAAGGGUGUAGUGUGAAGUUGGUGUCCAUGAUUCUUGGACAAUAAGAGAGGAAAAAUGUGAUGGAGAUCGAAUCUGUUUUGUGGGCUCAGCAAAUGCAGAACUUGUCGACAUCGGCUCCCAUUCAUACUGGCCAUAUAGGCAGUGGUAUUAUCCUCAGUGGGGUUAAUUAAGCCUUUCCUCAAGACUACACGUAUGUAUAGCUGUUAUCGUUCAAAGACCAAAGUGGUGUAUAAUAUUUCUUUGCCUCCUUAUAUCCCAACCAGGGGAGAAUGGUUUUCAAGCUAAAUCAUGAUGAGUACCUACUAAGUGCAGCACCAACUACUGGGUUAGAGGGGUUUCUGUAGGACUUGAAUUCUUAAAAAGCUCAAGCAUCCCUUAAGGGAUCCCCCUUUCCUUCAAUACUGUCUGAGCCUCAUCUUUAAGGGGAGUCUCCAUGGAAGGUGUUUAGG